rnacentral:rRNA from 1 species
AUUGAACGCUGGCGGCAUGCUUUACACAUGCAAGUCGAACGGUAACAGGCCUUCGGGCGCUGACGAGUGGCGAACGGGUGAGUAAUGCAUCGGAACGUGCCCAGUCGUGGGGGAUAACUAUCCGAAAGGAUAGCUAAUACCGCAUACGAUCUGCGGAUGAAAGCGGGGGACCUUCGGGCCUCGCGCGAUUGGAGCGGCCGAUGUCAGAUUAGGUAGUUGGUGGGGUAAAGGCUCACCAAGCCAACGAUCUGUAGCUGGUCUGAGAGGACGACCAGCCACACUGGGACUGAGAAACGGCCCAGACUCCUACGGGAGGCAGCAGUGGGGAAUUUUGGACAAUGGGCGCAAGCCUGAUUCAGCAAUGCCGCGUGCAGGAAGAAGGCCUUCGGGUUGUAAACUGCUUUUGUACGGAACGAAACGGCUCUGGUUAAUACCCGGGGCUAAUGACGGUACCGUAAGAAUAAGCACCGGCUAACUACGUGCCAGCCGCCGCUGUAACAC